rnacentral:rRNA from 1 species
GAUCGGAUCAAGCGCGAUAAGGGCGUUUGGUGGAUGCUUGGCAGCAAGAGGCGAUGAAGGACGUGGCACUCUGCGAUAAGCCCGGGGGAGGCGAGAGCACCCUUUGAUCCCGGGAUGUCCGAAUGGGGAAACCCACCUGACACUCGAUUGUUGUCGACCCAGGUCGAUCAACAAUCAGGUGAA